rnacentral:rRNA from 1 species
CACGUAGGGCGCAAGCGUUGUCCGGAAUUAUUGGGCGUAAAGAGCUCGUAGGCGGUGUGUCACGUCGUUCGUGAAAACCUGCAGCUUAACUGUGGGCUUGCGGUCGAUACGGGCAUCACUGGAGUUCGGCAGGGGAGACUGGAAUUCCUGGUGUAGCGGUGAAAUGCGCAGAUAUCAGGAGGAACACCGGCGGCGAAGGCGGGUCUCUGGGCCGAUACUGACGCUGAGGAGCGAAAGCGUGGGGAGCGAACAGG